GGGCCAUUAGCUCAAUUGGCAGAGCAGCGGACUUUUAAUCCGUUGGUUCAGGGUUCGAGCCCCUGAUGGCCCACCG
rnacentral:tRNA from 1 species